CAACUACUCCCUCUGUCCCAAAUUUCUUGUCUUAGAUUUGUCUAGAUACGGAUGUAUCUAAUACUAAAAUGUGACUUGAUACAUCCGUAUCUAGACAAGUCUAAGACAAGAAUUUUGGGACGGAGGAAGUACUUU
rnacentral:pre_miRNA from 1 species